GCCGCGGUACUGCAAAAUGGACAGCCAUCUCGCACAACCUCUUAGUCGCAUCCACUGAGAGGUCCUCGACACAGCGGUCGACGGAAAAGCGAAGCCAUGGACUGAGCUCAGGCGCGCAAUGGUCGAGAAAAUCGGCGUCGAUGUGGAACUUCCUCACCUUGGGCGACGCCUAGAGGAUCAAGACGCCGUCCACGGACGGGGAGGCGUUCCGCCAGGGGAAGGAGAAGACGAGGUCCGGGGGCGGCGGUCCAGAGGGAUCGCCACCGCUUCGACAAAAACGCACGUGCCAUCGGCAUCGUCGCCUAGGGUUUCGCAUCGACGAGAGGAGGAGGAGGAGGAGGUCGGCGAUGGCUUCUUCUUCGCCAUGUGGGGAUCGACGAUCGA
rnacentral:lncRNA from 1 species